UACGGAGGGUGCGAGCGUUAAUCGGAAUUACUGGGCGUAAAGCGCGUGUAGGCGGCCCUGCAAGUCGGAUGUGAAAUCCCACGGCUCAACCGUGGAAGUGCAUUCGAAACUGCAGGGCUAGAGUCCUGGAGAGGAAGGUGGAAUGCUUGGUGUAGAGGUGAAAUUCGUAGAUAUCAAGCGGAACACCGGUGGCGAAGGCGGCCUUCUGGACAGUGACUGACGCUGAGACGCGAAAGCGUGGGGAGCAAACAGG
rnacentral:rRNA from 1 species